GACGAACGCUGGCGGCGUGCCUAAUACAUGCAAGUAGAACGCUGAGAGAGGAGCUUGCUUCUCUGGAUGAUUUGCGAACAGGUGAGAAAAACGUAGGUAACCUGCCUGUUAGCGGGGGGGAACUCUUGGAAACGAUAGCUAAUACCGCAUAAUAGUAGAUGAUCCAUAACAUUUGCUAAAAAAAUACAAUUUUAUCACUACCAGAUGGACCUGCGUUGUAUUAGGUAGUUGGUGGGGGAACGGCUGAACAAGGCGACCAUACAUAGCCGACCUCGGAGGGUGGUCGGCCACAAUGGGACUGAGACCACGCCCAGGCCUCCUCGGGAGGCAGGAGUAGGGAAUUCUUGGCAAUGGGCGGAAGUCCGACCGAGCAAAGCCGGGGGAGGGGAGGAGGGUUUUGGAUCGUAAAGCUCUGUUGAAAGGGGAGAAAGAGUGGGGUAAUGGAAUGUGCACACUGUGACGGUAUCUUACCAGAAAGCGACGGCUAACUACGUG
rnacentral:rRNA from 1 species